rnacentral:rRNA from 1 species
UACGUAGGGGGCAAGCGUUGUCCGGAAUCAUUGGGCGUAAAGAGCGUGUAGGCGGUCCGAUAAGUCCGCUCUGAAAGCCCGGGGCUCAACCCCGGGAGGCGGGCGGAUACUGUCGGGCUAGAGUCCGGAAGAGGCAAGUGGAAUUCCUGGUGUAGCGGUGAAAUGCGCAGAUAUCAGGAGGAACACCGAUGGCGAAGGCAGCUUGCUGGGACGGUACUGACGCUGAGACGCGAAAACGUGGGGAGCAAACAGG